rnacentral:rRNA from 1 species
GGGUGAGUAAUACAUCGGAACAUGCCCAGUCGUGGGGGAUAACACUUCGAAAGAAGUGCUAAUACCGCAUACGUCCUGAGGGAGAAAGCGGGGGAUCGCAAGACCUCGCGCGAUUGGAGUGGCCGAUGUCAGAUUAGCUAGUUGGUGGGGUAAAGGCCUACCAAGGCAACGAUCUGUAGCUGGUCUGAGAGGAUGAUCAGCCACACUGGGACUGAGACACGGCCCAGACUCCUACGGGAGGCAGCAGUGGGGAAUUUUGGACAAUGGGGGCAACCCUGAUCCAGCCAUUCCGCGUGAGUGAAGAAGGCCUUCGGGUUGUAAAGCUCUUUCGGCAGGAACGAAACGGCGAGCUCUAACAUAGCUCGCUAAUGACGGUACCUGAAGAAGAAGCACCGGCUA